rnacentral:rRNA from 1 species
GAUGAACGCUGGCGGCGUGCCUAAUACAUGCAAGUCGAGCGAACGGACGAGAAGCUUGCUUCUCUGAUGUUAGCGGCGGACGGGUGAGUAACACGUGGAUAACCUACCUAUAAGACUGGGAUAACUUCGGGAAACCGGAGCUAAUACCGGAUAAUAUUUUGAACCGCAUGGUUCAAAAGUGAAAGACGGUCUUGCUGUCACUUAUAGAUGGAUCCGCGCUGCAUGAGCUAGUUGGUAAGGUAACGGCUUACCAAGGCAACGAUGCAUAGCCGACCUGAGAGGGUGAUCGGCCACACUGGAACUGAGACACGGUCCAGACUCCUACGGGAGGCAGCAGUAGGGAAUCUUCCGCAAUGGGCGAAAGCCUGACGGAGCAACGCCGCGUGAGUGAUGAAGGUCUUCGGAUCGUAAAACUCUGUUAUUAGGGAAGAACAUAUGUGUAAGUAACUGUGCACAUCUUGACGGUACCUAAUCAGAAAGCCACGGCUAACUACGUG